rnacentral:rRNA from 1 species
GACGAACCGAGCGAACGUUGUUCGGAAUCACUGGGCUUAAAGGGCGCGUAGGCGGGCUGUCAAGUUUGGGGUGAAAUCCCACGGCUUAACCGUGGAACUGCCUCAAAUACUGACGGUCUCGAGGGAGGUAGGGGCGAGCGGAACUGAUGGUGGAGCGGUGAAAUGCGUUGAUAUCAUCAGGAACUCCGGUGGCGAAGGCGGCUCGCUGGACCUCUUCUGACGCUGAGGCGCGAAAGCUAGGGGAGCAAACGGG